AUUGAACGCUGGCGGCAGGCCUAACACAUGCAAGUCGAACGGUAACAGGAAGAAGCUUGCUUCUUUGCUGACGAGUGGCGGACGGGUGAGUAAUGUCUGGGAAACUGCCUGAUGGAGGGGGAUAACUACUGGAAACGGUAGCUAAUACCGCAUAACGUCGCAAGACCAAAGAGGGGGACCUUCGGGCCUCUUGCCAUCGGAUGUGCCCAGAUGGGAUUAGCUAGUAGGUGGGGUAACGGCUCACCUAGGCGACGAUCCCUAGCUGGUCUGAGAGGAUGACCAGCCACACUGGAACUGAGACACGGUCCAGACCCCUACGGGAGGCAGCAGUGGGGAAUAUUGCACAAUGGGCGCAAGCCUGAUGCAGCCAUGCCGCGUGUAUGAAGAAGGCCUUCGGGUUGUAAAGUACUUUCAGCGGGGAGGAAGGGAGUAAAGUUAAUACCUUUACUCAUUGACGUUACCCGCAGAAGAAGCACCGGCUAACUCCGUG
rnacentral:rRNA from 1 species